UCUAUAAUGUAUAAUUUAUGAAAAACAGCAACAAAAACAUAUCAUGUUUAUUAAAUCAGAGCAUCGAAUUGAUAAAUAUUUACUGUUGGUAAUUUAACACUGACGUUUACAGUUCUGUACUCACUACUGUACUGUACUGUAUAUCCACAGUACACCAAGACUAACUAGUAUGCUUUGAAAUACACAAGAAUAAAUUAAUCGGCAACGUACAUCGGUGCCUUUAUAUAGAAUAUAUUUACGUUGUUUUGAUCUUAAUUAGAUUUAAGUCUACGGUAUUGUAUGGGUUUAUCAAUUGCUUUCAUAUUUUAUAGGCUAAUCUAAAUUUAGGUUGCUAAUCAGCCGCAAGUUACAUUUAUACUCUUUUUUCAUAAUUCAUUUAGAAUAUGUUUCUAUAAUUCAUUUAGAAUAUGCAAGGCUUGCAUAUUCUAAAUGAAUUAUAGAAACAUAUUCUAUGAAGCAAUAAAAUAAUAUACGUCCAUCAUCAUGGAAUGAAAAAGAAGCUUUUUAGAUUUAAUAUUGUCUUUUAUUGAUUAAUUAGCACACUUAAGAAUUGUUGAGAGAAUAGCUCAGUGGAUAAUGCUGUGGCCUCACAUUCAAGCAAAUCGAGUGCGUAUCCUGGCUGAUGCCAACUUUUUAUAUCCGUUUUUUAAUCAUUAUUUUUUUGUCAUUCAUAAGAUCUGAAAUCCCUCUACUCGGAUUAUUUUAGGAGAACACCUAUCAACUCACAAAACAGAUUUUUCGAGAGAUACUGACUUUGAUUAUUCAGACGUGGAAAAAUGUGACACUAGUGCAACGACAGCACUGUGGGACCACGUUCUUCUCGCACAAAAAGGACAUGCGCGGUGUUUAGUUGAUACGGGGUUCGCACAUCUAAAGAUUAAAUUCCGGUGGCAUGAUUUAGAAACACUUCAACAGCUGGCCCAUGCUAAAGAGAUGUCAUCUACAACCAACAGCCUGUAUGUUACCCCAUUAAGUUGUCAUGGCGACAAUGGAAACCCGUUCUAGAGGGAUUUUUCAAACCAAUUAUUGGUUUAAGAAAAUUUCCGGUUCCAGUCGAACACACCGGGUGUGGUUAUGGGCAAAAUAACACCUGAAGGCGAGGAAUAUUUGAUUCAAGUCUUGAAAGAACACGGAUUCCGGUUCAGUCCAUGUGUCCGUCCAAGCGUUAUUACGCAUAGGGAAUGUCAGCAGUGUCGCGAAGUGUGCGUGUGUUCGUCUGUCAAGACAGUUAAUGAUAUUAUCAGUGAUUAAGGUGCACUGUUAUAACAGCUAAGUGCUGAUUUAAAUAUCCAGAACUGUUGUUGUUUGUUGUUAAAAAAUACGGCCAUUGUUUCUGUUAUAAAGAAACUGUUAUAAAGAAAAAGAGAACUUUUUUAUUUAACUAUGUUUUUUUUCAUAAGUAUUAAACGUUAAACGUAGACUUAUAUACUUUUGUUGAUUUAUUUCUUUUGGUAUUUACCUAAAUAUUUGUCUCAUUUCAAUCUAUGUGACCCGGGCAUACUAAAACCCACCAACACACCUGUACCUUCCGGUUCAAUAUAUAUUUGUUUUUCAAGCAGUAUAUAGUAUGAAAAAUUCCCGUAAAGAUGAUGAAUAAUUUUGUCCACAUUAAAGGUAUAUAGUGUUGUAAUGGUUGAAAAAACAAUUAUUUGCGCCAUGUAUGACUCGCUUAUGGGCGUUGUUAUAACGUUGCUAAGCAACGCUAAAAUCGAAAUAAGCGGGAAGUCUAUAGUUUAAAUAACUUAAUUACUUACUUCUUUACAGCUUAAACAUACUAAUGCAGUGAACUUCAGAUUUAAAUAGUAUUGCCGUUUUAAUUUUCCAAUUAACAACGUUAAACGUCAAAAUUUAAUUUUUCGACGUCAUUUGUUAACAAAGUGAUCAAAUAUAUGACGUUCGUUAAAUUGGUAUAUCUAAAUAACUAACCCUUUGAUAUGAAAACGGUUUUCACCGUCAUAUUCAGAAAGAAAUUCUCUACAAUUAUAUGUGAAAAACCAAAUUUCGAAAAAAAUGUCAUUAAGACUGGUUUUCUCGCGUCGUGCCUC